ACCGCCUUCAUUCACAAUGUUCAAUCGUCCCGCAGUGAGAUCCCGCCUGCACACAGUGUACCCUUUAUUCCUGCACAUCCUGCUUGUUCAUGCUUUGAUAUGGACAGACAGUCAAGUACUCCAGCCAUCGAGGCAGCUCUGCAGCAGGGGGGCGAACAUAAACGGGACUACUGUUUCUGGUCUUCCAGGUCCAGCUGACGAAUGGGGAUUGGCUGGCGGCAGAGCUGAUAGCUGACUGGCUGGUCGUUUGACGACAUGGAUCUGGUGAUGACCAGGACGUCCUGGAAAAGGAACACGUGGAGCUUCUGGAAAGAUAGUCAUACAGAGUACAGCUCUCCAUGACAGCUGAGGGUCUUGGAGCGGUCGAUGAGUUCGUUCCUUUGUCCGUCCUCUGUGUACACCAGACGAUCCUUGUAGUAUUGACACUCCGACUCUCCUGUCUGCCUGUUGAUGUCCGCCACUACGCUUUGAACCAUCAGCAUCUAUGGGGUGCUGUCGGUCUAGGUGGUCGUUGGCUGUGUGCUUCAGGAUCUCUCUGAGCAGCAGCGGGUAUUUCACCAGCCGGCUGCGGGGAAUGUCCAGGAAGUUCCACAGGUCCAGCUUCCUGCUAAAAGGUGACUGGAGACAACGCUGCAAGAAGUCCUGGACUCGCCGAUCUUGCUUCUUUUGGUCCAACAAAGCCUUGGCUUUGACCUGGUUACUGCAGUACGGCGUGGGUAUAAGGGAUUCCAGAGUACCAAAGAUCUGGUUCAGUUCUUGCUCGGUCAUGAUGGAUAGCUUGAGCAUUGGGUCGUGGUAGGCCUACAGCACACACAUAAAGAAACACAGAGGUUGUGCCGCUCCCAGUCGGACGUCAAACGUCUCGCUCCACAGCUUGCUGUCCCGACGCUUGGAAGCCGAAGCAGCUGCAGUUGAAACCCUCGGGGCAGUCAUAGAGGACGAAGGGUUUGAGAGUGUCGCUGAGAUAA